rnacentral:pre_miRNA from 12 species
AGCUGAACCCCGGGACUGGCCAGCGUUGAGAGGCGGAGACUUGGGCAAUUGCUGGACGCUGCCCGCGCAUUGCACUUGUCUCGGUCUGACAGUGCCGGCCCCGCACUGCAGCUGCUGGG